GCAGAGUAGAAGCAAACGGCGUUAAGUGCCGCGCGGACGGGGAGUUGCCGGGCGGACGAAAAGAUGAUUCUUGCGGUCUUUGCUUCGCAUCCCGCUGU
rnacentral:ncRNA from 1 species